rnacentral:misc_RNA from 1 species
GAAAUGCGAUAAGUAGUGUGAAUUGCAGAAUUCAGUGAAUCAUCGAAUCUUUGAACGCACAUUGCGCCCUUUGGUAUUCCAAAGGGCAUGCCUGUUCGAGCGUCAUUUGUACCCUCAAGCUUUGCUUGGUGUUGGGCGUCUUGUCUCUAGCUUUGCUGGAGACUCGCCUUAAAGUAAUGGGCAGCCGGCCUACUGGUUUCGGAGCGCAGCACAAGUCGCACUCUCUAUCAGCAAAGGUCUAGCAUCCAUUAAGCCUUUUUUCAACUUUUGACCUCGGAUCAGGUAGGGAUACCCGCUGAACUUAAGC